rnacentral:rRNA from 1 species
UACGAAGGGGGCUAGCGUUGUUCGGAAUUACUGGUCGUAAAGCGCACGUAGGCGGAUUGUUAAGUCGGGGGUGAAAUCCUGAGGCUCAACCUCAGAACUGCCUUCGAUACUGGCGAUCUUGAGUUCGGAAGAGGUUGGUGGAACAUCUAGUGUAGAGGUGAAAUUCGUAGAUAUUAGCUAGAACACCAGUGGCGAAGGCGGCCAACUGGUCCGAUACUGACGCUGAGGCACGAAAGCGUGGGGAGCAAACAGG